UUAGAGGGAGUAAGGUGAGUUGUGCUGAACUAUAAUUAGUACAUUAAAAUAGUGUUCCGAAAGGAAAAUGAAUAGUGUCGAUCACUGGAACACGUAUUAAUGAAACGAUCGUCCAAUAAAUGAGAGGGAAUUAAAGUUCAGUUUGGUUCUACUGAAACAAGCAGUGUGUCUGGAUGGUGUGAUCUUUCGUGGACUAUAUGUAUUUUUGAUUAGCUGUUUUUGUCUUCGCCUUGCAACAUUGUGCACCAUGAUUAUGCAAUAGUUAAUUUUCAAUCGAUUAGUGAGAUCAACUGAAAAUUUAUUCAAAUUCCAAUGCAAUAACAAAUUUUCUGCAAUGGUAUCCUCACUAGAUUUGGUUUGCUUUUCACACCUGCAAACUUUGGAACUACAGUCUACAGUUAGGGAAGAUGACCAGAUGUUUCUAUGAAUUUUAUUCAUCUAUGGAUCUAUGAGAUACGACAUGCCUCAUCGCCAUUUUUAAAAUUUAAGAUAAAUGAGUGAGCAGAUUGAAGUUUAUUUUGAUGCUACUAAAAAAGCAAGUCCUCUAUCGUGUUUUAUCUGUUACGUUAUCAUCUUGGAGAAUUGAAGUUAAUUAAGGAACAUUAUAAAACUCGAGAUGCCAUAAAAUUACGGAGCAUCAGUUGUAUCAGUCUUCAUUUGCUCCAGAAUGUAGAUGUCUACUUAUGGUCUUAAAGAAAGCAUGGAAGUGGCUUUUUUCCAUUGGGAAUGACAAAAAGUGUGCUGUUGCUGUAGGAGAAAUUCAUGACACUGAACUGAUUGUCUAACAAAAAAAAAGAAGAUUGCAGUUAAUUUU